rnacentral:rRNA from 1 species
CCUACGGGGCGCUGCAGUGGGGAAUAUUGGACAAUGGGCGAAAGCCUGAUCCAGCCAUGCCGCGUGUGUGAAGAAGGCCUUCGGGUUGUAAAGCACUUUCAGUGGGGAAGAAAGCCUUGGGGCUAAUACCCUCGAGGAAGGACAUCACCCACAGAAGAAGCACCGGCUAACUCCGUGCCAGCAGCCGCGGUAAUACGGAGGGUGCGAGCGUUAAUCGGAAUUACUGGGCGUAAAGCUCGCGUAGGCGGUCUGAUAAGCCGGUUGUGAAAGCCCCGGGCUCAACCUGGGAACGGCAUCCGGAACUGUCAGGCUAGAGUGCAGGAGAGGAAGGUAGAAUUCCCGAUGUAGCGGUGAAAUGCGUAGAGAUCGGGAGGAAUACCAGUGGCGAAGGCGGCCUUCUGGACUGACACUGACGCUGAGGUGCGAAAGCGUGGGUAGCAAACAGGAUUAGAUACCCCAGUAGUC